rnacentral:misc_RNA from 1 species
UCCGGGGGUUGCCCGGCAGUCUCGCCAGAGAAAUGUAACUGGCGACAGGGGUUGCGCUCGUUGCGAGACUUAACCCAACACCUCACGGCACGAGCUGACGACGGCCGUGCAACACCUGUGCACGCUCCCCGAAGGGUCCCUUCCCUUUCAGGUCGGUACCACGUGCAUGUCAAGUCCGGGUGAGGUUCUUCGCGUAUCAUCGAAUUAAACCACACGCUCCGCUGCUUGUGCGGGCCCCCGUCAAUUCCUUUGAGUUUUAGCCUUGCGGCCGUAGUCCCCAGGCGGAGUACUUAUCGCGUUAGCUUCGGCACAGAGGGGGUCGAUACCCCCUACGCCUAGUACUCAUCGUUUAGGGCGUGGACUAC